CCUGCUAAGAUUUCCUUAGAUUAGAUUUAGUAAAUUGGUAACUAUAAUAUAAAUAUGUGACCUUGGGAAGGCCAUAUCAGAACUUGCAACCAUCUCCUUCUCAGCAGGCAUCUGCUCCAAUGAAGAAACUCCUUUUUCUGCCAGUCAGCUCCAAAUAAGGGUCUGAUCUCCAACAUUAUUCAUGUACUGAGGAAUUUGCCUCCAAACCUCAAUUCAUUCAUCUCAAGUUUGGGAGUGGAUAUCAACAAGUUCUUUGAAUUCAAUUCAACAAUUUUGUACUUUGAAUAAGCCCCUGUCCAAGGUACUAAGAAAGUCUGUGGCAAAGAGAAAUUGUAGAUUUGUUAGGGGGACACAGACAUAACAUUGCACUUAGAUUUGGAGAGCACAAGUACAAAUCCUACUUCUGCCAUCUAUUGCCUAUAUGAAUUUAGCAAAACAUAAAUAAUUUUAUGGAUGGAAG
rnacentral:lncRNA from 1 species